rnacentral:rRNA from 1 species
GACAGAGGGUGCAACCGUUGUUCGGAAUUACUGGGCGUAAAGCGCGUGUAGGCUGCUUGGAAAGUCGGAUGUGAAAGCCCUGGGCUCAACCUAGGAGGUGCAUUCGGAACUUCCAAGCUGGAGUGCUGGAGAGGAAGGCGGAAUUCUCGGUGUAGAGGUGAAAUUCGUAGAUAUCGAGAGGAACACCGGUGGCGAAGGCGGCCUUCUGGACAGUAACUGACGCUGAGACGCGAAAGCGUGGGGAGCAAACAGG